rnacentral:tRNA from 1 species
UCCCUGAUAGUCCAGUGGUUAAGACUCCCCGCUCCCAAUGCAGGAGGCCUGGGUUCAAUCCCUGGUCAGGGAA